UACGUAGGGUGCAAGCGUUAAUCGGAAUUACUGGGCGUAAAGCGUGCGCAGGCGGUUGUGCAAGACAGAUGUGAAAUCCCCGGGCUUAACCUGGGAACUGCAUUUGUGACUGCACAGCUAGAGUGCGGCAGAGGGGGAUGGAAUUCCGCGUGUAGCAGUGAAACGCGUAGAUAUGCGGAGGAACACCGAUGGCGAAGGCAAUCCCCUGGGCCUGCACUGACGCUCAUGCACGAAAGCGUGGGGAGCAAACAGG
rnacentral:rRNA from 1 species